GAUGAACGCUGGCGGCGUGCCUAAUACAUGCAAGUCGAGCGAACGGACGAGAAGCUUGCUUUUCUGAUGUUAGCGGCGGACGGGUGAGUAACACGUGGAUAACCUACCUAUAAGACUGGGAUAACUUCGGGAAACCGGAGCUAAUACCGGAUAAUAUUUUGAACCGCAUGGUUCAAAAGUGAAAGACGGUCUUGCUGUCACUUAUAGAUGGAUCCGCGCUGCAUUAGCUAGUUGGUAAGGUAACGGCUUACCAAGGCAACGAUGCAUAGCCGACCUGAGAAGGUGAUCGGCCACAUUGGAACUGAGACACGGUCCAGACUCCUACGGGAGGCAGCAGUAGGGAAUCUUCCGCAAUGGGCGAAAGCCUGACGGAGCAACGCCGCGUGAGUGAUGAAGGUCUUCGGAUCGUAAAACUCUGUUAUUAGGGAAGAACAUAUGUGUAAGUAACUGUGCACAUCUUGACGGUACCUAAUCAGAAAGCCACGGCUAACUACGUG
rnacentral:rRNA from 1 species